CAGUAGCAAUACUGAGUGGCAGACGGGUGAGUAACAUGUGGGAAUCUGCCUUGUGGUUCAGGACAACAUUGGGAAACUGAUGCUAAUACUGGAUAAGCCCUUACGGGGAAAGUUUUAAUGCCAUAAGAUGAGCCCGCAUUUGAUUAGUUAGUUGGUGAGGUAAUGGCUCACCAAGACAAUGAUCAAUAGCUGAUCUGAGAGGAUGAUCAGCCACACUGGGACUGAGACACGGCCCAGACUCCUACGGGAGGCAGCAGUGGGGAAUCUUGCACAAUGGAGGAAACUCUGAUGCAGCGAUGCCGCGUGAGUGAAGAAGGCCUUUGGGUUGUAAAGCUCUUUUGUAGGGGAAGAUAAUGACUGUACCCUAAGAAUAAGGUCCGGCUAACUUCGUGCCAGCAGCCGCGGUAAUACGAAGGGACCUAGCGUAGUUCGGAAUUACUGGGCGUAAAGCGCGCGUAGGCCGUUGAGUUAGUUAAUUGUGAAAUCCCAAAGCUUAACUUUGAAACUGCAAUUAAAACUGCUCGACUAGAGUUUGAUAGAGGAAAGCGGAAUACAUAGUGUAGAGGUGAAAUUCGUAGAUAUUAUGUAGAACACCAGUUGCGAAGGCGGCUUUCUGGAUCAACACUGACGCUGAGGCGCGAAAGUAUGGGUAGCAAAGAGGAUUAGAUACCCUCGUAGUCCAUACCAUAAACGAUGAUUGCUAGAUGUUGGAAAUUUAUUUUCAGUAUCGCAGCUAACGCAUUAAGCAAUCCGCCCGGGGAGUACGACCGCAAGGUUAAAACUCAAAUGAAUUGACGGGGACCCGCACAAGCGGUGGAGCAUGUGGUUUAAUUCGAAGAUACGCGCAGAACCUUACCNACCCUUGACNUGUCUGUCGCGAGUUUANGAAACUAGACUUUUCGGUUCGGCCGGACAGAACACNNNGCUGCAUGGNUGUCGUCAGCUCGU
rnacentral:rRNA from 1 species